AGUAUUUUGCACGACUUUUUGAACAAAAACAGACCAUAAAACUUAAUAUAAGUAAGCCUAAGAAGUAAGUUAUUAAAUAGUUAUUUCAUGGACAUGGAGUUAUAAGAAGCACAUCAUCUUGAAGCACAUAAUAUUAUGUCAAAUAUCCAUGUCAAAAUACUUCAUUUAAUUACCACAAAGAAAUCUAAUGUUGACAUUACCUGCAAAAAGUUCUCAUUCAAGAUAUUAACUGGGAAUAAACAUUUAAAUAAGCAGAUAAUCCAGCUUGGCCGCACUUCAAGUUACGAGAAAUAAAACCAAAGUAUAAAUCACUUAGAGGCGACACCGUGUCGACAUCGCUUAAGUGAGAUUUAUGCUUCUUGAGAUAAAUUGCUCCGAUUUGAUUCUCGGAUAUCCUGAUUUAAAUUCGAAGGUAAUUUAUGACAAAGUGCAACAAGAAAAUCCGGCAUUAUGGGUGCGUUCCAAGACAAUUACAGUGAACAGUUCAGACCACGAAGUGAUAAAUGCAAUCAGAGUUCUAGAUUUACGCCCGGAUAAAUGGGGAGAAGUUUAUUUGAAAAAAGGCGGGAUUGGCCAAAGGUCCGUAACUCUAGAAUUAAACAGUCCUAGCAUCUUCAGAGGUUAUAAUUUCCUGGUAGAAGUGUACGCUAUUCAGACCGGACAUUUUAUGAAUUAUCAUGGUAAAUAAAGUGGUGAUGUAA